AUGAAAAACUUGAAAAGUACUCAGUCAUGCACCAAACAAUGUAACAACAGUCUAUUCUGGCAGGCCAUUAAGAUUUAGCAAUGGCAUUCCUGUCCAUGAAGUCUUUAAGCCUGGUGGGAAAAUCUGUCAUAACUCCUGUGGCUCCCAAGCCAAAAGCCCUUUGGAAAUCCUCCUCAUCAUUCAGCACCCAGAUGUACACCUGAAAGCAGACACAGAAAGCAGUUAUUUUGCUAUUUUAAU